rnacentral:rRNA from 1 species
CUACGGGCCGCUGCAGUGGGGAAUAUUGCACAAUGGGCGCAAGCCUGAUGCAGCCAUGCCGCGUGUAUGAAGAAGGCCUUCGGGUUGUAAAGUACUUUCAGCGGGGAGGAAGGGAGUAAAGUUAAUACCUUUGCUCAUUGACGUUACCCGCAGAAGAAGCACCGGCUAACUCGCGUGCCAGCAGCCGCGGUAAUACGGAGGGUGCAAGCGUUAAUCGGAAUUACUGGGCGUAAAGCGCACGCAGGCGGUUUGUUAAGUCAGAUGUGAAAUCCCCGGGCUCAACCUGGGAACUGCAUCUGAUACUGGCAAGCUUGAGUCUCGUAGAGGGGGGUAGAAUUCCAGGUGUAGCGGUGAAAUGCGUAGAGAUCUGGAGGAAUACCGGUGGCGAAGGCGGCCCCCUGGACGAAGACUGACGCUCAGGUGCGAAAGCGUGGGGAGCAAACAGGAUUAGAUACUCGUGUAGUC